GUCGAGAAUCUUUCACAAUGGGGGCAACCCUGAUGGAGCGACGCCGCGUGGAGGAUAAGGUCUUCGGAUUGUAAACUCCUGUCAUGCGUGAACAAGGUUGCUUGGAUAAUACCUGAGCAAAUUGAUGGUAGCGCAAGAGGAAGAGACGGCUAACUCUGUGCCAGCAGCCGCGGUAAUACAGAGGUCUCAAGCGUUGUUCGGAAUCACUGGGCGUAAAGGGUGCGUAGGUGGCGUGGCAAGUCAGAUGUGAAAGCCCGGGGCUCAACCUCGGAACUGCAUCCGAUACUGCCAUGCUAGAGUACUGGAGGGGUGACUAGAAUUCUCGGUGUAGCAGUGAAAUGCGUAGAUAUCGAGAGGAAUACCAAAGGCGUAGGCAGGUCACUGGACAGUUACUGACACUGAGGCACGAAGGCCAGGGGAGCGAACGGGAUUAGAAACCCUAGUAGUCC
rnacentral:rRNA from 1 species